rnacentral:rRNA from 1 species
UCAAGAAACUUCCACAAUGGGCGAAAGCCUGAUGGAGCGACGUCGCGUGAUGGACGAAGUGCUUCGGCACGUAAACAUCUUUUAUGUGGGAUGAAAUUAUUGACAGUACCACAUGAAUAAGGGGCUCCUAACUCUGUGCCAGCAGCCGCGGUAAGACAGAGGGUGCAAGCGUUGUUCGGAAUCACUGGGCGUAAAGGGCGUGUAGGCGGGUCGUUAAGUUGGGGGUGAAAUCCCGAGGCUCAACCUCGGAACUGCCUUCAAAACUGGCGACCUGGACCUAAGUAGAGGCAAGUGGAAUUGCGAGUGUAGAGGUGAAAUUCGUAGAUAUUCGCAGGAACACCAGUGGCGAAGGCGAACUUGCUGGACUUAUGGUGACGCUGAGACGCGAAAGCGUGGGGAUCAAACAGGAUUAGAUACCCAGGUAGUCCCUGAGCGGGCUGGCAAGGCGCAU